GGUUAAGCAAUAACUACUGUCCAGUAGGUCCGCCUGCCCGGAUGUAAACACUCCACUUUGCUUUCAGCCAUCUUCCGAUGAAGACGUGUUUGAGCUCUUGCUGAUUAGCCAUUAAUCAAGGUUUUCAAGAAACAACAGAUCCUUUGUUAGCAGCCCUGUCAGCCUUCUCAUUGCUCUCAAUACCCACAAGCUGGCACCAAAUAAAGUUCAUUUUCCUUAAUUGCAUGGUGGAUGACUAACCAGUUCUAUUUUUCUUUUACUAUGUGUGGUACCCUCGGAUUCGCAGCGGGUGAGUACCAGACCCCCCCCCGUGAAUAGUUGGAACUCCAAUAAAAAUGCUGAAACAACCUAUUUUGUUAGUUAAAACUCAAGAAAAACCCAUUAAAAUUUUGUAUAUCUGGUUUUUUUAAUAGUUUUAUCAAAAAAGUGUGUAUGAUGAAAUAAAAAAAA